rnacentral:rRNA from 1 species
GUCUACGGCCAUGCCACCCUGAACAUGCCGGAUCUUGUCUGAUCUCAGAAACUAAGCAGGGUCGGGCCUGGUUAAUACUUGAAUGGGAGACCACUAGGAAUACCAGGUGCUGUAGGCC